AUUGGACGCUGGCGGCAUGCUUUACACAUGCAAGUCGAACGGUAACAGGCCGCAAGGUGCUGACGAGUGGCGAACGGGUGAGUAAUGCAUCGGAACGUGCCCAGUCGUGGGGGAUAACGCAGCGAAAGCUGUGCUAAUACCGCAUACGAUCUAUGGAUGAAAGCGGGGGACCGUAAGGCCUCGCGCGAUUGGAGCGGCCGAUGUCAGAUUAGGUAGUUGGUAGGGUAAAGGCCUACCAAGCCGACGAUCAGUAGCUGGUCUGAGAGGACGACCAGCCACACUGGGACUGAGACACGGCCCAGACUCCUACGGGAGGCAGCAGUGGGGAAUUUUGGAAAAUGGGCGCAAGCCUGAUCCAGCAAUGCCGCGUGCAGGAAGAAGGCCUUCGGGUUGUAAACUGCUUUUGUACGGAACGAAACGGCCUGGGUUAAUACCCUGGGCUAAUGACGGUACCGUAAGAAUAAGCACCGGCUAACUACGUGCCAGCCGCCGCCGUAAUAC
rnacentral:rRNA from 1 species